rnacentral:rRNA from 1 species
CAGCCCUUGACAUCCCAUGACCGGUAGAGAGAUUUACCUUUCCCUUCGGGGACAUGGAGACAGGUGCUGCAUGGCUGUCGUCAGCUCGUGUCGUGAGAUGUUGGGUUAAGUCCCGCAACGAGCGCAACCCUCGCCCUUAGUUGCCAGCAUUUAGUUGGGCACUCUAAGGGGACUGCCGGUGAUAAGCCGAGAGGAAGGUGGGGAUGACGUCAAGUCCUCAUGGCCCUUACGGGCUGGGCUACACACGUGCUACAAUGGUGGUGACAGUGGGCAGCGAGCACGCGAGUGUGAGCUAAUCUCCAAAAGCCAUCUCAGUUCGGAUUGCAGGCUGCAACUCGCCUGCAUGAAGUUGGAAUCGCUAGUAAUCGUGGAUCAGCAUGCCACGGUGAAUACGUUCCC